GACGAACGCUGGCGGCGUGCUUAACACAUGCAAGUCGAACGGUGACGGAGAGCUUGCUCUCCUGAUCAGUGGCGAACGGGUGAGUAACACGUGGGCAACCUGCCCCAGACUUCGGGAUAACGCUUCGAAAGAGGUGCUAAUACCGGAUACGAACUCCUUGGGCAUCCUUGGAGUUGGAAAGUUUUUCGGUCUGGGAUGGGCCCGCGGCCUAUCAGCUUGUUGGUGAGGUAACGGCUCACCAAGGCGACGACGGGUAGCCGGCCUGGGAGGGCGACCGGCCACGCUGGGACUGAGACACGGCCCAGACUCCUACGGGAGGCAGCAGUGGGGAAUAUUGCACAAUGGGCGAAAGCCUGACGCAGCAACGCCGCGUGAGGGAUGACGGCCUUCGGGUUGUAAACCUCUUUCAGCAGGGAAGAAGCGAAAGUGACGGUACCUGCAGAAGAAGCACCGGCUAACUACGUGCCAGCCGCCGCUGUAAUAC
rnacentral:rRNA from 1 species